ACAGUAGAAUGGUUUGUCGCUUCUUUUUUUGAAGAGAAGAGGAAAGUCCGGGCAACGCAGAGCGCCAUACUUCUUAACGGGAAGUCGGUCGUGAGGUCGAAGUAGCGUAACAGAAAAUAACCGUUUUGUUUUUGCAAAAUAAGGGUGAAAAGGUGAGGUAAGAGCUCACCGGUAGGUGUGGUAACAUGCUUAGCCGUACGCCUUAUGGGUUGAAAGAUCAAGUAUAUCGACGUAUGUAGAGUGGCUCGCUCGAUGUCGAGGGGUAGAUCGAUAGAGGCAAGUGGUGACAUUUGUCGUAGAUAAAUGACAAACAUCCAAUUUUUUGAGAUACAGAACCCGGCUUAUAGUUCUACUGUUUUU
rnacentral:RNase_P_RNA from 1 species